AUCAAUAUGUCUUCAGUCCGAUUUAGAAGUCAUAAAGGAAAUAUUUACCCUAAAAGCUAAGAUAUGACAGCAAAGGCCUUUAUUAUAACUAUAUAUAAUUAUAACAAUUAGGGAUAUUUAGAAUAUCUAGUGGAUAAGGUGUCGGCUGCUAAGUUCAGGGUCGUGGGUUCAUGCCCCACUGGGGUAGCGGCCAUGGCUUCUCAGGUGGCACGUACAGUACCAGCUGGUAGGAACUACAUUUUGGACUAUUUUACUUCGCUUGCUGUAACCAGUUUUUCCUCCUUUUGCAGACGUUUUCCAUUUGCAUUCAUAUGGGGGAGAAUGGAGGAGAUGGAAGGUCCUUGUGCUGAAUUUAGUAAAACAGAGACCACCUGAGGAAGUGGUGAGAGACUGGCAAUGAUGUACUGAACGAGCAUGGUGGAAAGACAACAUAGUCAAAUAGGGGUUUGUCAUAAGCCUAACUUGCGCAUAGCCUGCUUUGAUAGAGAGCCUUUAGGAUAUUUUCAUCUAUGUGACCUUACCGCCUGUAUAUUUUGUACACUACAUAUUUUUAAAAACAAUGUAGAAAGAAAUACCCUAAAUGUGGGAGUAAAUUGAAGCUGUCAGAAACAUUUAUAGCUAGAAAGUAUUUGAUAAUAUAAUAGCAAUUCUGACAAGUUUACAAUCAAGGUAGAUACUUAAGCGCGGAAAGCAUUUUAAGUUGAAAUGUUCAUUUUUUUCGAUGAAGGACACAAUAGAGAAUUGUUAACAUGCUUCUUGAAUUUGGAAUAUUAGAAACCGAUGCGUCUUUGAAAUUUAUUUAUACUGUGAACAAUAUUGGAUAUAAAACAUCAAUGUUAAGUUAUUGACAUUCUAUUUUUAAAUAACGUUGAACCAGCUAUAAAGAUUCAACCAUGGCUACAUCUUGUAUCUAUUAAUUUACAGGACUUACGGCAAUAUCUAUAAUGUUAAGUUUGUUUUUGAAUCAUAAUAUAUCAGGUGAACAAGA
rnacentral:lncRNA from 1 species